GGCUCUCUGGGGUGCUUGUCAGAGUGCGUAAUAUCAAUUCCGCUGUACCGAAACCCCGGGAUCUGUCGCUCGUCGCGGUGUGCACGCCGGCUCUUGAGCCGGAAGCCUAAAGCGAUGAUAUGGAACCCAUAUGCAGCGUCGGCGGGGUUGAAUUUGGUCUCGAUGGCACUCCGGAGAGCUU
rnacentral:other from 1 species